CACACAUACGGUGAUUUUAAAACAAACACAUUCCUGUAUCAUUUUGGUUAGCUCUAGAAGAGGAUUCCCAGUUCUUUUAUUAAAUCAGGAACAAAACUACUCAAGUAUCGAAAUCCACUUUAACAAUAGCCAUGACAAUCUAUGUUUUCUUCAGUCCUUCCAUGAAGAAAUCAAUUGUGGUGAGUUUUGCAAGAUAGACUCCAGACUGAAGACAAUUUCCUUCAAAAAUAAAUACUUUUUGGAACAACAGAGAAAACUAUACUUGCAGAAGGGAUGGAAGGACUUGAUCUAUGAAGGCCCCAUCAGACUGAUGGGUGACCUCUGGAAAACAGGGGAUGAAGAAGGUCACUAGGAGGUCACAAAAUUCUUUCAUAAAAAUCAAGUACACCAGCACAAGUGUUUCAUGUCCUGAAAACAAGUUUACCCAUCUCCUCAAGCAAAAGGCAAAUUUACUGUCAUAACUGCCAGUCUUCCUACCUGGCACAUGCAGUUAGUGCUAAGUUGUAGACUUUGGAGAAAUUUAACCAUCUAAGUCAAAAUAUGUUUUUAUUCACAAAUUUUCUAUAAUGACAAAUGUCUGAUGAGUUCUAGUUUUCCUUCAGAAGCAUCUUUGUAGAAAUGUUUGUUCUUCACCAGGACUAAAUGAAAUCAACAAUAGUUUGAGGGGAAAAAAAGGAGUAUGAAACAUGGUUACCUGCCUGUACAAUAAUGGGCACUCAAGAUAUAUAUGGCUGACACAUCCAGGCCACCAUACAAGUGUGUGUACACCCCAUGCAGUAGAGCCAGAGACUUUGCCGGAAGUAUUACAAGGCAGCACGUGUGCCUCUGUCCCCUUGUGUGUGGAGCCAAGGGUGUAAAAAGAAUCAUGGCAUUCUUCGAGUGCUUGUUCAUGUCCAUUCUGAUUACAUGUGCGCACGCCACGUGCAUGGACUCCGGAGCUUUUUUCCCUUAGCAGUCUCCAUAGGGCCAGGCAGGGAGUCCCCUGGAGUGGUGCUGGUAUACCGGUGCAUAUAUACCCCUGCUGGCCCCUCUACCCCCUCAGUUCCUUCUUACCGCCAGUGACAGUAGCUGGAGCAUGUGUUACGGCUAUCUGCCUGUCCCAUAGCAGUUUGUUUUCUCAUCUGUUCCUGUAUUAUAGUUAGAAUCAGUAGUUAAGUACCUGUUAAGUAGUUGUUGGAUAGCGUAAUUAGUUGAAAAAAAGAGUUCAGUGGGAUUCUCCCCAUCAGGGUAGGGGAUGCCAGGCUCCCAAGGCUUUAAGCCGUGGUUCGUGCUCAAAGCCUAAGCCCUGUGGCGACCUGCACUCUUUGUAUUUCAAGUGCCUCGGAGAGGCCCAGCGAGAGGAGAGCUGCUCGAUCUGUAGAGGAUUUAAGCCCAGGACCAAGAGAGAAAGAGACCCUAGGCUAAAGCUCCUGUUGAUGGAGUCAGCAUUGCAGCCUCCGAGUGAGAAACGUCCUCACUCUGUCCACAGCGCACCGUCCGCUUCAGCCUCGGCACCGGCCAAGCAUCAAACGGCCGUCUUGAAGGUGCCCAGACACAGGUCACAGUCGCCAGCACCGAGGAGCUCUAAAGGCUCGAGGGGCCGGUCUAUGGCAAGACGUGCCCACAAUGUGCACCCUAAGGAGGGGCACUUGACCUCCAAGGCGCCUAGGAGAAGGCGCAGCCUGGACAAGGCUCAGAGCCCAGGGCAGGCUACAGGGAUGGGAUUCAGCGCCCUUCUACCCCAGAGACGUUCGAUGCCACAAGAAAGCUCAUCGAACUGACUGCAACCGAGGGAGAAGUCCCAGCGCUGCAGCUGAAGGCUGCACCUUCUCACGGCACGAGCAUCCUCCCAUCAGCACCGACAUCGGGGUCAUGGAACUCUCAGAGCAUGGCGCAGGCCCCAGCACAGCAGAUGGUGCCGGGACAGAUGGGGCAUCUUCAGUCACUUCUGACGGCAACGGGGUAUACAGUGCCCCACUAUGCGUUGCAGGAGGUGGCACUGCUGAUAAGACCCUUGACGGUGCAGGCCCCCGUACCGAGCGUUAUGCCCACCAUGACGGCACCGGUGCAACUGGCACCAUACAGGGCACUGGCGCUGAUGCCUCUCUCAGUACCUAUUACGGCACUGGGACAGAGGCAGAUGGUGCCUAUGGUGCAGCAGCCCUCGAUGCCGCUGACAGCCACAGCACGACAGGGCUAUUUCCCAGUCUAUCAGAUGUUGAUGGGCACUAUGCAGGCCAACAGAUGCCUCUCCUGGCACCGCGACCAGGGCACAGGGGUAAGACAUCGGCCAUGACCGUGCACUAGAGGGAACAAGCUUCGUCUUCCCUCUCCAGGUCGGCAUCAGACUAUUCCUCAGAGUCCGUGGCAGAAUCCGUGCGGUCAGCCAGAUCGUCCAUCGGUCACGCUCAAGUCUCAGAUCUGGGCAAAGGGACUCGGCAGACCAGCAGCAGUGGCAGGCGCAGUGGCAACCACAACCGCUGCGGCUGUUCUGGACACCUUGGGCAUACCAUCAAGCCCAAGGGCACCCCCCUCAGGGCACCGGAGUGUGAGGAAGGACAAGUGCCACCGAGAGAGUUGUCAUCGUCCUCACCGGAUGAGGCUCUGGCAGACCCGGCACCCCAACUCCCUUCCAUGGAUGCCAGGGCUCACCAGGACCUGCUAAGGAGGUUGGCAGCCAACCUGGCUGUGCAGGCUGAAGACAUCCACAAGGACCUGGACCCCAUGGUAGAUAUCCUGUCGGCAUCAGGCCCGGGUCGUGUGGCACUACCACUGAACAAGACUGUCGAUAGGUUGUCAAAGACCCUGUGGCAAACGCCAGAGUCAAUCGCACCAACACAAAGGGGUAGAAAGGCGUUACUAUAUGCCACAAGUGGGGCAUGUACAUCUUUUUACCCAUCCCGCCUCCAGGGUCCAUAGUUGUGCAGGCAGCGGGGCAAAAGGAGCAUCAGGGACCUCUGGGGCCAAAACCAAAGGCUAAAGACCUUAAAAAGCUGGACCUCCUACGUAGGAAAACCUAUGCCAUGGGAAGCCUGCAGCUUCGUAUUGCAAACCAGUGUGUUCUGGAUGGGAGCUAGAGGCAUGUAGGUAACUGUAUGAGUUGGUGGGUUUUCUGUAGAGA